UACAGAGGAGCCAAGCGUUGUCCGGAUUUACUGGGCGUAAAGCGCACGCAGGCGGACGCGCGCGUGGGGUGUGAAAUCUGGCCGCUUAACGGCCAGGCGCCAUCCCAUACGGCGCGUCUGGAGCCAUGCAGAGGUCGGUGGAAUUCCUGGUGUAGCGGUGGAAUGCGCAGAUAUCAGGAGGAACACCGAUGGCGAAGGCAGUUCUCUGGGCCGUAACUGACGCUGAGGAGCGAAAGCGUGGGGAGCGAACAGG
rnacentral:rRNA from 1 species